UCGAUGUCGGCUCGUCGCAUCCUGGGGCUGGAGUCGGUCCCAAGGGUUGGGCUGUUCGCCCAUUAAAGCGGUACGCGAGCUGGGUUUAGAACGUCGUGAGACAGUUCGGUCCCUAUCCGCUGUGCGCGUAGGAAUAUUGAGAAGGGCUGUCCCUAGUACGAGAGGACCGGGACGGACGAACCUCUGGUGUGCCAGUUGUUCUGCCAAGGGCAUGGCUGGUUGGCUACGUUCGGGAGGGAUAACCGCUGAAAGCAUCUAAGCGGGAAGCCUGCUUCGAGAUGAGUAUUCCCACCUCCUUGAGAGGGUAAGGCUCCCAGUAGACGACUGGGUUGAUAGGCCGG
rnacentral:rRNA from 1 species